ACUGCUUUAGCUCAGCUGGUAGAGCUUCGGAGGUCGUGGGUUCGAAUCCCGCAAGCAGUC
rnacentral:tRNA from 1 species